rnacentral:rRNA from 1 species
UAGAGUUUGAUCAUGGCUCAGGAUGAACGCUAGCGACAGGCUUAACACAUGCAAGUCGAGGGGCAGCGGGUAGAUGAGCUUGCUCAUUUAUGCCGGCGACCGGCGCACGGGUGAGUAACACGUAUGCAACCUGCCCGUCUCAGGGGGAUAAUCGUCGGAAACGGCGUCUAAUACCCCGUAUGAAGCUGGACGGCAUCGUCUGGUUUUGAAAGAAUAUCGGAGACGGAUGGGCAUGCGGCGCAUUAGCUGGUUGGCGGGGUAACGGCCCACCAAGGCAACGAUGCGUAGGGGUUCUGAGAGGAAGGUCCCCCACACUGGUACUGAGACACGGACCAGACUCCUACGGGAGGCAGCAGUGAGGAAUAUUGGUCAAUGGGCGAGAGCCUGAACCAGCCAAGUCGCGUGAGGGAGUACUGCCCUAUGGGUUGUAAACCUCUUUUGUCGGGGAGCAAAAGCCGGACGUGUCCGUCUGUGAGAGUACCCGAAGAAAAAGCAUCGGCUAACUCCGUGCCAGCAGCCGCGGUAAUACGGAGGAUGCGAGCGUUAUCCGGAUUUAUUGGGUUUAAAGGGUGCGUAGGCGGACGCUUAAGUCAGCGGUAAAAUUGCGGGGCUCAACCUCGUCGAGCCGUUGAAACUGGGUGCCUUGAGUGGGCGAGAAGUACGCGGAAUGCGUGGUGUAGCGGUGAAAUGCAUAGAUAUCACGCAGAACUCCGAUUGCGAAGGCAGCGUACCGGCGCCCAACUGACGCUGAACCACGAAGGCGUGGGUAUCGAACAGGAUUAGAUACCCUGGUAGUCCACGCAGUAAACGAUGAAUACUAGCUGUCCGGGGCGAAUGAACCCUGGGUGGC